UGUAAAUGAACCUAGGUUAUGAUGUAAAGAGACACUCAGUAAAAGUAAACUAAGUUAUGAAUUAUAGUGGGAAUAGGACCACUAGGAAGUGAAUGGUAUAGACCUAAAAAGGUCGUCGACAUAGGUAAAAGAGUAAACCUUAAGUUGUGAAAGUGGAUUCGCGAAUCCCUAGGAAUGGUGCUGAUGGCAAGAAUAGAAUCAGAAACUACGGGAUUGACGGUUCCCUCCCCGGUAGUGAUUCAACGGAUCGACGUUUCUCCCUCGCCGUAUGCCAUGAAACAAGUGAAUCGAAAACUACGGGAUUGACGUUUCUCUCUCCCGGUAGUGAUUCAACGGUCGACGGUUCUCCUCUCCCGGUAUGAGCUAACGGGUUUGACGGUUCUCUCCUACCGUUAAGCUUGAGCGACUUAGGGUCACAGGAUCGACGGUUCUCCUCUCCCUGUUAUGACUUAGUGUCGCGUGGACUUAAGGCUGGGUGCUUGUGAGACGUCCUUCACCUCGAGUGACUUGACGCGGUACUCGCGGAUGAUUGACUCAAGACGAGUCGAGUGCAUAGAUGGCUAAGGUAAAAAACCUUAGGAAAGAAUCGCCAGUGAGCAUAAUUUGACAAAGAGAAAGAAUAAAGAGAAUAGCUAAUGAACGAGAAUAGCUAAGAAGAAAAGACGGCUACAAGUAAAAACGGUUAAUGAUAUAAAGUAGAAUCAAGUAAUCUACUUACGUGAUUUAAGGUAUUGCAUAUUGCAUAGACGCGAGGCAAGGUAUGGUUUUUUGUUGCAUAGUCAAUAUUUAUCUAUUUAUUUGUUGAACUAACCUACUGUUGCCUCCUUUGGACCUGGUGGGUCGAGCUCUUCUCUUGGGUGGCCGUACCCACUGGGAACUAUAUUUAUAUAGUUCUCACCCCCCGUGUUGUUUUGGGGUACAGGUUGCACGCGAGCGCGCGGCGGCGCGAGACAUGGCGUAGCUCCGUAGAUAGCGCCCCCCCACUGAAGACGGAUAGCAAUACCUGAAGAGUAAGCUCAGCGUAUUAGUAUGAAUGAAACAAAAUUGUAGUAAAAGUGUAUAAGUUGUAAUAAUUUAAACGCUUAUGUAAUAUUGUAAAGGUAGAACUCUGAGAUGUAUCUUGUAAUAGCGUAGUUAGAAUUUUAUGUUUUUGAUACUUAUGCAAUCUGUUGUUGAAUACAGUUCUUGUUUGGAACCUCUUGUAUUGCAUUGUAUAGAUUGUGACGCCUAGAACGUACAGGGGAGGCUCUGUCCGUUCGCGGUCUGUCGGCGUGCCCGAAUCCGACCAAAUUGGCGGAGCUCGGGGCGUGACAAUAUGACCCUCCACCCUAUCUUCUCUCAUUUCUCUUCUCUCAACUCUCUCCACCUCCUCUUGGUAGAAGAGAAGAGAAGAGGAGAAGGAGAAGAAGGAAGGAAGAAGAAGAAGAUUGAGAGCUUUUAGGGAGCUUGGAGGCAUCUUCCCCACCCUCAUCUUCUUCUUUGGUGUUGGAGCUUGGACUUGGAGCUUGCAAAGGAGAAGAUCUUCACCCUUUGAGCUUGGAUUGGAGUUCUUAGAGGUUGGUAGUCUUUUUCUCCGAAUCUAGACUUUAGAUUUGAGGUUUUUAUUGUUUUGGAAACCUAGAAUGAGGUUUUAGGGUUGAUUUGGGGCUUUUUGAUCUAGGGCUUUUGAGGCUAGAUUGAUGUUUUAGAACCUUCCUUGGGCUUGGAGUGGAAAGGUUCUAGCUCUCUUUUAGAGCUUGGAAGAGAUUUCUCUCUUGAGGUGAAGAUUGACGCCCUUUUGCUUCUAGGUUAAUGUUUGAUAUUAUAUGAGAUCGUAAUGCCCGUAUAUCUUGUCGCUCAAUACUUCUAGGGUAUUCGAGACUCGGGGACAACUUUGUUCGGCGAAACGAGCCCUACUCGACGGUUCGGUGGGUUUGACCUAGCCUAUGAUAUGAGAAAUGCUCAUAUUUGGCAAAUAUGUUUCGUAAAAUAAAUUCUUGCAUUUCCUUGUAAUUGUAUUUAAUAUGAAUUUUAGAAUGCUUAACAUGCAUAUAUUAUGUAUAGUGAAAUUUUAGACCCUAUGUGGUAGAGUGAUGCAUAUAAGACUUAGCAUUCUAUUUAUGAUUGGGAACCAUGAUCCUUAUUAUGUUAAAGGACCUUGCUUCAUGCAUUUAACCUAUAUGCAAUUGUGACAUUAGGAAUGUUAGAAGCCUAGAGAGGGCUUGAGAACUUGGACUAUUUGAGAAUUGAGACAAUGUCAUAAAGAGGCAUUGGCCCGGAUCAUGGUAAUCAUUGGUAUUGAUGUUUUAAUGAAACAUAGAACAAGAUUUGGCUUGAUCUGUUGUGAAGCUUAAGUGUCAAAAGAGGCACUAAGCAAGGAUGUUGGCAUCACUUAGAGACAUGAGGAUUGGAUACUUGAGACUUGGACUACUUGCUUGCUAUUUGUGCUCAUUCGCACAUGCUUGUGAGGGUCGCUCCCUACAAGCAGCACUCCGGAGUUAGCCUACGCGACUUAUGUUCGCUCAGUGCGGUAUUGAGAACCUAUGACGCCUAGAACGUACAGGGGAGGCUCUGUCCGUUCGGCGGUCUGUCGGCGUGCCCGAAUCCGACCAAAUUGGCGGAGCUCGGGGCGUGACAGAUUAAAUGGUAUCAGAGCAUAAAAGAGAAUAAAAGAGAAUACUAGAAACGGUUUAGAUGGACCUAGGAGACCUAGGAUAGUAAACCGUAAGGAUUUACACUCGUGAGAGACGUGGACUUGUGACGUGUGGCGAAAGGUAAAUCGAUUGGGUCAAGUUUAGUAAACCUCUAAGACGGAUAUUAGAGGUAGAUUCAAGGUUCAGUUUAUUCUCAGCCAAGUGAGUUCAUGUUGGGUCGACACAACAUGAAAUCGAGGGAUGGGAAUAAGCUUCCUUGCAUGACUUUCGCCCGAUUUGAGUUUGUAUUAAUUAUUUCGUAUUUGACCCAAAGGGUCGAGGACUGACCGAGUUGUCGCGUCAUGUUUCAGGGAAUGAUGGCACCGCGUAGGCUAUCUUCGUCUAGAUCGGCGCGGGAUGGGACAAGUGGUGUCCCCGAGCAUACUGAGACGAGCGGAGACUUGGAGCUUCGCGAGCAGUUGGCCACACUCGUGGGAGUGGUAAGGCAACAAGCGGAUGUAGUGCAACGUCAGCAGGACGCUGCUCUGCGCCAAGAAGAGCGGAUUAAGAGACUCCAGAAAACGGUGGAUCAGUUAGGGACCGCACUAGUUUCGGCUCGUCGUGUACGGCCAGGAGUCGCAGCGGAGGCAUUUCAGUCGGGGUCGAGCAAUCCGACUGCUGUUAGUUCAGAGAUGGAAGCGGAAAGGGAGCGAGCUUUGGCGGCUCUUAUGUCCUUCAAGAAGUUUGAUCCACCUACUUUCGAUGGAGAGGACAUAGAUCCAUGGACUGUGGAGUCGUGGAUUGACUCCAUAGAGACUAUUUUCGAGGAUUUGUACACAGUGGAGCGGGACAAGGUAUACUUAGCCGUGCAUUGUCUGCAACGGUCAGCGAAGGCGUGGUGGAAAGACAUCAAACGAAAUCGAUCGCCUAGUCUUCCUUCUAUGGUUUGGGAAGAGUUUCGGGAAUUAAUGCGUUUAACUUAUUUCCCCGAUAGUGAAAAGAGAAAGCUUCAGAACAGGUUUCAGAAACUACGACAAGGAGACCGUUCUGUGAGGGAAUACGAACGGGAAUUUUCCCGUAUCGUGAGCUCUGUUCCGAACGUGGUACAAGAUGACAAGGAUCGAGCUGAUUGUUUUGUACGAGGACUUUGGCCUGAUAUUUUCAAAGUGGUGCAUAAUCUUAAGUUGCAGACUUUUGCUGAAGUCUUGGAUCGGGCCCUGUGGAUAGAGCAAGGUAAUGCUUUUGUGCACGAAGAGCACGAGUCUCAUGAAUGUAAGCAAAGAGGAAUGAGGCUACUAUCUAAUAGUUCAGAUGAACAGUCAAGUUCUAGACGUCCCUCGACAUCGUCCUCUACCCGAUCAUCUCCAAGAUGUGUGAUUUGUGGUGGUUCCCACUGGGCACGACGUUGCGUGCAGCGGGAAGGAAAGUGCACUCGAUGUGGACAAUUGGAACACCCAGGUUAUGAGUGCUUGCAAAGUGAUAGUAUACUGGCGACAGCAUUUUCCUCUCCGGGACAACCUGCGGAUGUGCCACCCGCGGCAUGGUCUGGAGAGCGAUUGAGGAUAAGGCAACCGAGGGGUUCGCGACGGGCAGCAAGUGGCUGUGAAUAGGCGACCCAUGUGGUGGAACCUACUGCGACUGGUGGUAAUGUAGCAGGUAUGAGUUAAUUAAAGCAAGCAUGUAUUUCACUAUGAUAUAACUUGGUGCAUUGCAUGCAUUCAUUGUAUAGUCUGUACUACUAUUUGUGCAUGAGUAUAGUAGUGAUCAAGUGAACGGAUAAGUGCAGAGACCCGUACAUGCUUGUGUUGUGGAUGCGUAGUACCUGCAUGUGUGUGGCACUGUAGUGCCUGUUAAAGCAGGUAGUGAAUCUAAUGGCACUAGCAAAUCGCUGGUGAUAGCCUGUGAGAAGAAGUGAGACUCGUAGUAGAAAUGGUAGUGAUUGACCAACUCUCAAAACCAGUGCGAGUGGCUGAUUGCGAGAGUCUAGUCGUGAUGUUCGUGGAAUUCUUGUACGACCGAGCAUUUUGCAGGUUGUUCUAGUAGAUCGAACAGUGAAAGUGGAAUCACUGUUGCGUCUAGUACGUGCACGUGGACCUCGUAGUACAUCAAAGCGACGUAAGUAGGUCAUGCUCGUGUAGUCGAUAUGCAUAGGCAAGAAUUGCCUAAUGCUGGACUUAGUAUGACACGCGAUAGUGGCGUAUAGAGUGCUCGAGUAUAGGUACUCGUACUGUGCGGAUUUGAUUCAGCCGUGAGUGUGUUGGCAGUAGCACUUUAGCAUUGCUAAGUGUGAAGCGUGCCAGAGGUCACUCGUAGAGCUGGUGGCUCGCACUAGAUGCUUAGGAGCCGAUAGUGGUACAUGUGUUCAGUAGAGAGUGUCGUGUGAGACGACGUUUGCGGGUAGUGCUUGGGGACAAUUCGUGCCUGGACCACUUGCGGACUGUGGAGCCUAGACCUAUUGGGUAGGCGCAGUCAGCUGUGAGAGACAGCGGCCCGAUACCUGCAGGUAGGGCGGAGAGUUUUGGUCAGGACGGUAGUCCGAGCAUAGACCCGAGUACGUGGAAUGUCACGUGUUGGAUCGUGAAAUCGGUGAUGCACUAAGAGUGCGGUUGUGACCCAACCCGAGGACUUGGCGUGAUUUGGGGUCUUGGUUGCUCCCAGUUGGAGCAGGUAUACGAUAUCUCAAGUGAGAACUGUGUCUCGUGAUAAUUGGGUCUAUACUUGCGAGCGAGAGAUGUUGAGUUAAGUGAUAGGCCUAGCAAAUCGCCGAUCCGAUUUGCGAACAGAUCUGUGGUAAUUGAGACAAGUAGUUACCCGUGUGCAUUGUAAGUGAAUAUUUCGAACGUGUCCCAGUGAAGGAGAAUGUAUAGGGACCGUGAGAGCGAAGGCUCAGUCCUGUGGAUUAUUUAGUCAGAAUUGCUAAGACAAGCAUCGAUGACGAGCUGAGAUUGGAAACGCGAACAAAGGGUUCGUAGAGACUGAUUCGGAGGAAUCAGAGUAGCAUAGAAUGAAAAUUUUACCUGUUGAGGAUUGUUGGAACUUAUCUCCCUCCGUUAGGGUAAAUAGAAAAAUAUGUCUCUAAGUUUCGCGGACGAAACUUUUGUUAACGGGAGGAGAUUGUAAUAUACGGAAUCUGGGAGUUGCGAUGUCAAUUUUGACCUAGGGGAUUAAAGUGAGGUUUGAGCAAGUUUUGUAUCUUCCCCGAGGGAUUUUAGAUGUGUGGGAAUGAGUUUCAAAGAGAAAUAAGUGUUUCGGCGCAAAUUGGGCGCGAAACAAAAUGUAAAGAAAAUUUUCGGAUUUCCGACGCUAACUUUGAUUAAAAGAAUUAAAGUGAGCAAAAUAACAUAAAAUGGUAUGAGAUACCAUUUGAUUGGACUUAAGGGUGUAAAGUAUAAGUCUGGAAUGACUCGUGUUGAAAUCGGAGCGAAAACGGAAGAUUUAGAAUUUUCUGUAAAGAAUGGGACUGAGAAAUUAGCAGAAAAAUGCACAGUGUCAGAAAAUUAAGAAAAUUGGCGGAGAUGUCAGAAAUGGUUUUAUGAGGAUAGAUUUGAAGUUUCAUAUUUUUCUGACACAUGUAGAGAGAGAAAUAGCAUUCGGAAGUUAUCUGAUAAAGAUUACAGUUCGGGACAGUUCGCAGUGACCAAACGAGGUCGAAACUGAAAUGUUAAAAUUUCAGUGGACUUGUUAAGUAAAACCGAGCAUGCCUGUUAAAUUUGAGCUCAAUCGAACAUUUGGAAGGGCCUGCAAAAGGUAUCUGAUCCGAGUUGCUAAACGGAUUAGUAGAAGGGCAUUAUGGUAAUUAUUCCAUUACUUAGUGGAUUUCCACUAAGCUGCCUGGGGCAUCUUUAUCCUCUUCACCCUCCUGUACGCAUGAGAGAGAGAAGGAAAGGGAAACAAAGGAAAAAAGAAGAAGAAGAAGAAGAAGAAGAAAUUGAUGAAAUCGGUGUCGUUCGACGAGCCGAUCGAUCCCCCGCGCGUGUUGGAUUUUUCCGGCGCUUCAACUGCGAAGUUAGUAUUUUAUUGUUAUAAUUUCAAAUCUGAUUUUUUGAUGGAUUUUUGACGGUGGAUGUUAGGAGAGGUCGUUUUGAUGGAUCUAUGUUGAAUCUAUGCAAAAAUUGAAGUUUAGAAAUCGAUUUUAAUGUGAUUUAGGAGCCGAUUUUGAGACCGUUUCGUCGACCGAUUUUUCCGUGACUUUCGGGUUGUUGUGGCUGCCAUGCGGAUUGGGUUUGGGCUGUGAGGUGGCUUCCGAGCAGCGGUAAUCUGCAAGAUAUAUCAACCUGAGGUGAGUUAAUUGCUCUCUAUUUGAUAAAGUUGUAAAUAGGAUUUAGCUUGGGUUAUUAGAUUACUAAGAACCAUAUUACUAUAGAAUUGGGAGCAAGCUGUACAGGUUACUAUCAUGCAUGAGCUUUGGCAGUUGGAAAUUAAAGAGAGCUAUUUUACAAAUUUGGUUUAGAGAUCGAUAUAAAUCUCUAAGUUAAUGGAUUUGGGCUCGAGUAGUAGAUCCUUGGUUAUUAGUAAAGGUUUUAUCCUAGUAAACCAAGCAAAGGCUUAUAUGAAACCUGUAGAAAUAUGUAUAUAAUAAAAGUUAAUCUCUUGUAAUACUUUAGAUUAAUUGAUUGAGGUUCUUGGGUUAUGUGUGGUUCUUGGCACUGGGAAGCAAAUUGUUGAAGCUUCCAAAUCUGAGAUAUAGUUAUUACCUCAUUAAAGUUGAAAUAUUUACCCUACGAAGAGGUUGAACGUUGGGGUUCUUGGAUUCUAGAACCUGCUCUUGCCAUGGGAAAUCUAAGAAAAGCCUAGAAUAGGCCUACAUGUAUAUAUAGAAGAAUCUGACAGUGAGAAAAACUAUGAGUAAAUUAUAAUUCCUGAUUAAGAGUAGAUGUAUGUACCUUAAAGGAAUUGGUUUUGGGUAGUAGAAUUCUUGGAUUCUAAUGUUCGUCGAUACUAGAGCUUACUUCUGGUUACAUGUAAACUUAUAGAGAAGCUAUAUUAAAUAGCAUAUGUAAGCUCUUGGGUUGAAUCUGAGGGUUGUAAAUUUAUGGUUAUAGCAUGAAUGGAUCUCCUGUAUUCAUAAAUUACUUAGUUCAAGGCUUUUAAUUGGUUGAGGCUUAAAUUGCUUAUGUUCUUGUAUUAAGUUAUGUAAUGGCAGUUUAUGUAGAGCUCUAAACUCAAUAAUGCACUUUUGUAGGAUUGAGACCCUAACGUGAAAUUGGUCGCGUGUAAACCUAAUUGAAGGUAAAACAAACGCGUUGGCGAAGUCGGUUCGGCAAUCCGUCGAGCCUACGCAAAAAUAUCGCCAAAAGGACGUUUUCGGCAUCAAUUGUCGCGAGCGCGGGUCGCGGUUCUCGGGAAGUGCGGGAAGUGGAUUUCUCGCGUUCAGGUAUCAAAUAAAGGUGGGUUGUGCUUUACCGAAGUGAUUAGGUCACUUCCAUGCCAAAGUAAAUCGUGGUUUCAUUUGAUGCAUAUAUGAAUGCAUUAUGGUUAAUGCUAGAUGAUGUAUAAUGGUAAACAGAUAAUGAACAUGCUAGAGGCAUAGGAAUAUAUUGUAGAUUGUGCUAGAUACAUAUAAUUGUCGAUAUAUGAACGUGAAAGCUAAAUGCAUAGUUAUGCUAAAUUCAUAUGAGCAAACAUAUGGUAUAUGAAUGUUGAACCUGUAAAUGCCAAGGGCAUGUAAGUUGAAUAUGAAAUGUGAACAUAGAUGCUAAAGCAUACAUAAUUGUUGCCACAUAAAAGUGAAAGUUUGAUGCCUAUGUCUAAACAUAUAUGAAAGUGAAUGUACUAUAGUUCAAGCUAUAUGAAUGUCGAUAAUUCUAGUUGAUUAGAAAUCUUGACGGUAACAAAAUAAAUGAAAAUGUGCAAAUUAUAAUCCUAGGCGUGGAUAACUAGGAUAAUGAAUAGAUCGAGUGGCAUGAACCUAGUGUUAUUGAACAUAGGUUGGACAUGAAAUGAACCUAGUGUUAUUGAACAUAGGUUGGACAUGAAAUGAACCUAGUGUCAUUGAACAUAGGUUGAAUUAGUAAACCUAGAGUCGAGAUCUAGGUGAAAGAACAUGAAACCUAGCGUAAAUGAACCUAGGUUAUGAUGUAUAGAGACACUUAGUAAAAUUAAACUAAGUUAUGAAUUAUAGUGGUAAUAGGACCACUAGAAAGUGAAUGGUAUAGACCUAGAAAGGUCGUCGACAUAGGGUAAAAGAGUAAACCCUUAAGUUGUGAAAGUGGAUUCCGGAAUCCCUAGGAAUGGUGCUGAUGGCAAGAAUAGAAUCAGAACUACGGGAUUGACGGUUCUCCUCUCCCGGUAGUGAUUCAACGGGAUCGACGGUUCUCCUCUCCCGGUAUGCCAUGAAACAAGUGAAUCGGAACUACGGGAUUGACGGUUCUCCUCUCCCGGUAGUGAUUCAACGGGAUCGACGGUUCUCCUCUCCCGGUAUGAGCUAACGGGUUUGACGGUUCUCCUCGCCCGUUAAGCUUGAGCGACUUAGGGUCACAGGGAUCGAUGGUUUUCCUCUCCUUAUGAUGGACCUAGUGUCGCGUGGACUUAAGGCUGAGGUGCUUGUGAGACGUCCUUCACCUCGAGCCUGACUUGACGCGGUACUCCACGGAUGAUUGACUCAAGACCGAGUCGAGUGGCAUAGAUGGCUAAGGUAAGAUAACCUUAGGAAAGAAUCACCAGUGAGCAUAAUUUUACAAAGAGUAAAGAAUAAAGAGAAUAGCUAAUGAACGAGAAUAGCUAAGAAAGAAAAGAACGGCUACAAGUAAAGAACGGUUAAUGAUAUAAAGUAGAAUCAAGUAAUCUACUUACAUGAUUUACAGGUAUUGCAUAUUGCAUAGCAGCGAGGCAAAGUAUGGUUUUAUUUGUUGCAUAGUCAAAUAUCUAUCUAUCUAUUUGUUGAACUAACCUACUGUUGCCUCCUUUGGACCUGGUGGGUCGAGCUCUUCUCUUGGGUGGCCGUACCCACUGGGAACUAUAUUUAUAUAGUUCUCAC
rnacentral:lncRNA from 1 species